rnacentral:rRNA from 1 species
GAUGAACGCUGGCGGUAUGCUUAACACAUGCAAGUCGAACGGACUCUUCGGAGUUAGUGGCGGACGGGUGAGUAACGCGUGAGAAUCUGGCUUUGGGUUCGGGACAACCACUGGAAACGGUGGCUAAUACCGGAUGUGCCGAGAGGUAAAAGAGAAAUUGCCUGAAGAUGAGCUCGCGUCUGAUUAGCUAGUUGGUGAGGUAAAGGCUCACCAAGGCAGCGAUCAGUAGCUGGUCUGAGAGGAUGACCAGCCACACUGGGACUGAGACACGGCCCAGACUCCUACGGGAGGCAGCAGUGGGGAAUUGUCCGCAAUGGGCGAAUGCCUGACGGAGCAAUACCGCGUGAGGGAAGAAGGCUCUUGGGUUGUAAACCUCUUUUCUUAGGGAAGAACAAAAUGACGGUACCUAAGGAAUCAGCAUCGGCUAACUCCGUG